rnacentral:tRNA from 1 species
GUCCCCAUCGUCUAGAGGCCCAGGACACCGCCCUUUCACGGCGGCGACGCGGGUUCGAAUCCCGCUGGGGACGCCA